rnacentral:rRNA from 1 species
CCUACGGGAGGCAGCAGUGAGGAAUAUUGGUCAAUGGACGAGAGUCUGAACCAGCCAAGUAGCGUGAAGGAUGACUGCCCUAUGGGUUGUAACCUUCUUUUAUACAGGAAUAACACGAGACACGUGUGCCUUUUUGCAUGUACUUUAUUAAUAAGGAUCGGCUAACUCCGUGCCAGCAGCCGCGGUAAUACGGAGGAUCCGAGCGUUAUCCGGAUUUAUUGGGUUUAAAGGGAGCGUAGAUGGGUUGUUAAGUCAUUUGUGAAAGUUUGCGGCUCAACCGUCAAAUUGCAAUUGAUACUGGCAGUCUUGAGUACAGUUGAGGUAAGCGGAAUUCGUGGUGUAGCGGUGAAAUGCUUAGAUAUCACGAAGAACCCCGAUUGCGAAGGCAGCUUACUAAACUGUGACUGACAUUGAUGCUCGAAAGUGUGGGUAUCAAACAGGAUUAGAGACCCCAGUAGUC